AUUGAACGCUGGCGGCAUGCCUUACACAUGCAAGUCGAACGGCAGCACGGGUUCUUGCCCCUGGUGGCGAGUGGCGAACGGGUGAGUAAUACAUCGGAACAUGUCCUGUAGUUGGGGAUAGCCCGGCGAAAGCCGGAUUAAUACCGCCUACGAUCUACUGCUGAAAGCGGGGGCCCUUCGGGCCUCGCGCUAUAGGGUUGGCCGAUGGCUGAUUAGCUCGUUGGUGGGGUAAAGGCCUACCAAGGCGACGAUCAGUAGCUGGUCUGAGAGGACGACCAGCGACAGUGGGAGUGGAACAUGGGCCAGACUGCGACGGGAGGCCGCAGUGGGGACUUUCGGGAAACGGGAGAAAGGAAGAUCCAGCAAUGCGCGGUGUGUGAAGAAGGCAUUCGGGUUGUAAAGCACUUUUCCUAGGAAAGAAAUACUUCGUCCCCAUAAGGUCAGGCGAUGACGGUACCGGAAGAAUAAGCACCGGCUAACUCCGUG
rnacentral:rRNA from 1 species